UUUAGUUAGAGUUUGAUCCUAGCUCAGGAUGAACGCUGGCGGCGUGGAUAAGGCAUGCAAGUCGAACGAAUUUUCUAAAACUCUAGAUGAGAUUAUAUCAAAUCAAAGGUCGUAGAAAGUUAGUGGCGAACGAGGUAGUAAUACGCAGGAACUUCCCCCAAAGUCUUGAAUAAUCCGUCGAAAGACGGACUAAUACAAGAUGGUCUCGCAAGAGUAAAGAUUUUUCGCUUUGGGAAAGGCCUGUGCGGUAUCAGCUAGUUGGUAGUGUAAAAGACUACCAAGGCUAUGACGCCUAGGGGAGC
rnacentral:ncRNA from 1 species